rnacentral:misc_RNA from 1 species
AAAGUCGUAACAAGGUUUCCGUAGGUGAACCUGCGGAAGGAUCAUUAUUGAAUGUACUGAGGUUAGCUGAGCUGGUCUUUAACUAGACAAGUGCUUGCUGCUUCUAUUCAUCCUUCUCCACCUGUGCACUUAUUGUAGAACUCUGAGGAAUUGGUCUAGGUUAACGCCAGGGCCUUAGUACUCUAGGUUCUAUGUAUCUUACCUACUCUAUGAAUGUCAUUGAAUGUCUUUUAUUGGGGCUUGAUUGACCCUUUAAACCUUAUACAACUUUCAGCAACGGAUCUCUUGGCUCUC